UACGUAGGUGGCAAGCGUUGUCCGGAUUUAUUGGGUUUAAAGGGUGCGUAGGCGGCUUUGUAAGUCAGUGGUGAAAUACUCCAGCUUAACUGGAGGGGUGCCAUUGAUACUGCGGAGCUUGAGUACAGAUGAGGUAGGCGGAAUUGACGGUGUAGCGGUGAAAAUGCAUAGAUAUCGUCAAGAACACCGAUAGCGAAGGCAGCUUACUGGGCUGUAACUGACGCUGAUGCACGAAAAGUGUGGGGGAUCAAAACAGG
rnacentral:rRNA from 1 species